AUGUGCUGCCACAAUUUCCAGUUUCCAGCUGCUGAGCUAGGUUUGACUGGUGCAGGUGUUCAUAACCCUUAGCAAGGACUGGCAGUUCAGGAACUCCUUCCUGCAUGGUUCAGCCACAGCAGCUUCAGGGGACAACUUUGAGGAUAAGGAAAGCUUAGCAUAGUGACAAAUCCCUCCAUCCAAAUUUACCUGAAUUUGAGUCACCCCCAGCAGUUCAUGCUGCCUCGAAGGAAGCUUUGCAGCAAGGAAUAAGGAUCUGCAUCUUCCUUUCCCUUCUGGCCUGGACUUGGAGCAUGGCAUGGAAAUACUUAGCAUGAUGCAUUGAAUAAAAUAUGACCAUCCUUCUUUACUAAAGGAACGUAAAUGAUGUACCAAUGAAGCCCUGCCCUUUUCUGGCUCCCAGCCAGGCAGCAGCUCCAAAGGAGCAGGAAGAGCAAAAGGGCUGAGC